rnacentral:rRNA from 1 species
CGAAAGCCUGACGGAGCAAGACCGCGUGAGGGAGGAAGGCUCUUGGGUUGUAAACCUCUUUUCUCAGGGAAGAAGCUCUGACGGUACCUGAGGAAUCAGCCUCGGCUAACUCCGUGCCAGCAGCCGCGGUAAGACGGAGGAGGCAAGCGUUAUCCGGAAUUAUUGGGCGUAAAGCGUCCGUAGGUGGUCUAUCAAGUCGGCGGUAAAAGACCGAAGCUUAACUUCGGAGUGGCCGUGGAAACUGAGAGACUAGAGAGCGACAGGGGCAGAGGGAAUUCCCAGUGUAGCGGUGAAAUGCGUAGAGAUCGGGAAGAACAUCGGUGGCGAAAGCGCUCUACUGGACCACACCUGACACUCAGAGGACGAAAGCUAGGGGAGCG